rnacentral:rRNA from 1 species
UACGGGGGGAGCAAGCGUUGUUCGGAUUUACUGGGCGUAAAGGGCGCGUAGGCGGUCAGCACAAGUCAGUUGUGAAAGCUCCCGGCUUAACUGGGAAAUUGCAUCGGAAACUGAUCGGCUGGAAGGUGGGAGAGGGUAGCGGAAUUCCCGGUGUAGUGGUGAAAUGCGUAGAUAUCGGGAGGAACACCAGUGGCGAAAGCGGCUACCUGGCCCAUUCUUGACGCUGAGGCGCGAAAGCUAGGGGAGCAAACGGG